UAGAGCCUUUGCAAGGUUCUAGAUGGCAUAGAGGAAUGGUAGAACCUUUACAGGGUUCUAGGAGCUAUAAAUGAAAGGUAGAGGCCUUACAGGGUCCUGGGUUAUGAAGUGAUGGCAGAACCAUUAUAGGUUUUAGGAUUCUAAGCAUUAUAAUGAGAUUCUAGAAUCUUUACAGGUUUCCAGGUGCUGUAGAGGGAUGGUAUAACCUUUACAAAGUAUGACUUAGUGAACAGAGGUUAGAUGAAUAAGUUAGGAAGUCAGGAAAAAUGGGAUGAUCCCUGGAAGGGAAUACUUGGAUUCUGUCCCUCUCUUUUUUUCUUUAAUCCCAGCCACUAAAAGAAAAGAACUGGCUUCCAAGAAAUAACAACAAACCAUAACAAAACAAAUAAAAUAAAGUAAAAUGAAAACUAUCACAUCAAAUUUGGACAAGACAAACCAUCAGAUGGAAAAGAGCCAAAGAGAAGACGCAAGAAUCAGAGACCCACUCAUUCACAGACUCAGGAAUGCCAUAAAAACACUAAACCAUAAUGUAAAAAAAUGGAGGACUUUCUGAAGAACUGUGCAUACUGCUUCAGUCUCUGUUUGCCUGAGCUUGGAGUAUGAGAUAGAGACAUCAUAUUUAGAGCUGUUUGUUCCAAGGAUAUGAGUAAUGGAUUAAAACAACACAAGACAAAAAAAAACAAAAAAAAAACAACCAAACAACAACAACAACAACAACACCCAACAACUUUGAAAUCUGAAGCCCGAAAGGAAAACUGCAAUGCUACUUGGGUCCACUAGGGAAGAAAGUGAAGGAGCUAGCAAGUAAUACACUUUAUAUUCCCAGGAAGAACUGAUACCUCCAGAAACAAGAUGGAAGGUCAUUUGAAUCGAGGAGAGACUGAGAUUGAGGUUAUGAUUAUGGAUAGAUGGAAGUGUGUGCAGAAGACACAGUCUAUAAGAAUGAGAACAAGUGGUUAAACACACGACUUAUUACUGUGUGUGCAGAGUCAUAAGGGCUGGUGUCUGACCACUGGCAUCCCUGGGAAGACUCUUCCUCACCUUUGUAUCUGUCUGAGAAAGCUUCUUGUGCAUGAGUUUGGGCCAUUUGAUAUGUGCAGAGCAUAUCUGAUUAAAAGCACAGAAGGAGUUGGAGAAUGAUUUGAGUUGGACUGAUUGUGAGAAGCAUAGGAAUAAUGUUUCCGAAAGGCUAGCACACAGAUCACCUGAGAAGCAGGGUGUGCGGAGGCAUAAACAGCAAACCACAUUCAAACGUUUCACACUGAGCAGAGAAGAGCACUGAGGAAAAUCUACAAUGCUGAGAAAACAGAAUGCACUUGAAUCUGGGUCCUGGAGAAGCUAAGGGAGUUUACCAUUCCCACAAGCAGGUAGCAACAUCUGUGUCCAAGCCCUUAUUGGGUGUUGAAGGGCAGGGAGACAUAAGGGGAUUCAUGUCUAAUACUUUCAAUCACUCCUGGGAAGCAGGCAUUCAAGCAACCUGUCAGAAGGAUUCUGGGCCAGGUUUAGAGUGCCGCAGUAAACAGACAUUAAUCACAUGUUACUUUUUGUUUAUUCCUGGAGCAUUAGAAGCUGUAGACAUCUUUGAAGCUCUCUGGUGAAUACAUAUCCCAUAAAGAAAAAAUAUUGAACUUAAUUUAAUCCCCUUUCAAUGGGUUUCCUGGCCUCUGUGAUCACCUUGGAGUCUGGAAAAGAGUUACCUUGAGUGCUCUUAUUAGGGAAUUACCGUUGCCAUUGGGGUGUUUUCUCCAAGUGAUAAUUGGCCUUUUGUUAAUUUCUUUCUUGUCUAUGACAUUUUACAGAGAGUUUUCUGUUGCAGUCCAGGGUGAAUGAGUAUUCAGGCAGAAGCAGGCGUUGCUCCAGGACAGGAUUUCUGCAAACUGUUUCCUCCCAAAAUGUCAAAACAUCGGGCAAUCAGCUUCAUCAUGCAUCAUUUUAAGAGGACAAUUCUCUGUGGAUCAGAACAAAGUCAGACAAUAUUAUUUUAGACAAACAGCCUCGAUCAAAAUUGCCAUUUUACCCUUAGGAGCAUUCUAUACAGAAGCAAACUGUAUUUGUAUUUUUCCUGAUUAAUAUCUCUGGCUAAGGAAAUCUUUCCCAUAGAAUGUCCCUUUAUUUCA
rnacentral:sRNA from 1 species